rnacentral:rRNA from 1 species
GCGAGGGAGGGGGCAGGGGGGGCGGGAAGACGUGAGGGGGAAGGGUUGGCCUGAUUUAUUGGUCGUGAGGAGUGCGGUGGCGGCUUGUUGGGUCUGCCGGGGAAUUCCAUGGUGUAGCUGUGGGCUUGCGGGGGAUACGGGCGGGCUGGAGUGCGGUAGGGGAGACUGGAAUUCCUGGUGUAGCGGUGAAAUGCGCAGAUAUCAGGAGGAACACCGGUGGCGAAGGCGGGUCUCUGGGCCGAUACUGACGCUGAGGAGCGAAAGCGUGGGGAGCGAACAGGAUUAGAUACCCCGGUAGUC